rnacentral:rRNA from 1 species
AGAACGAACGCUGGCGGCAGGCCUAACACAUGCAAGUCGAACGCUCGUAGCAAUACGAGAGUGGCAGACGGGUGAGUAACGCGUGGGAACCUUCCCAGUGGUACGGAAUAGCUCAGGGAAACUUGAGGUAAUACCGUAUACGCCCUUCGGGGGAAAGAUUUAUCGCCAUUGGAUGGGCCCGCGUAGGAUUAGCUAGUUGGUGAGGUAACGGCUCACCAAGGCGACGAUCCUUAGCUGGUCUGAGAGGAUGAUCAGCCACACUGGGACUGAGACACGGCCCAGACUCCUACGGGAGGCAGCAGUGGGGAAUAUUGGACAAUGGGCGCAAGCCUGAUCCAGCCAUGCCGCGUGAGUGACGAAGGCCUUAGGGUGUAAAGCUCUUUUGGCGGGAGAUAAUGACGGUACCCGCAGAAUAAGCUCCGGCUAACUUCGUGCCAGCAGCCGC